GAAUCUGCCUUUAGGUCUGGGACAACAGAAGGAAACUUCUGCUAAUCCCGGAUGAGCCUAAUGGUAAAAGAUAAAUUGCCUGGAGAUGAGCUCGCGUCUGAUUAGCUAGUUGGUGAGGUAAAAGCUUACCAAGGCAACGAUCAGUAGCUGGUCUGAGAGGAUGAGCAGCCACACUGGGACUGAGACACGGCCCAGACUCCUACGGGAGGCAGCAGUGGGGAAUUUUCCGCAAUGGGCGAAAGCCUGACGGAGCAAGACCGCGUGGGGGAGGAAGGCUUUAGGGUUGUAAACCCCUUUUCUUUGGGAAGAAGUUCUGACGGUACCAAAGGAAUCAGCCUCGGCUAACUCCGUGCCAGCAGCCGCGGUAAUACGGAGGAGGCAAGCGUUAUCCGGAAUGAUUGGGCGUAAAGCGUCCGCAGGUGGCCAUGUAAGUCUGCUGUCAAAACCCAGGGCUCAACUCUGGUCAGGCAGUGGAAACUACAAAGCUAGAGUCUGGUAGGGGCAAAGGGAAUUCCCGGCGUAGCGGUGAAAUGCGUAGAUUUCGGGAAGAACAUCGGUGGCGAAAGCGCUUUGCUAGACCAGAACUGACACUCAGGGACGAAAG
rnacentral:rRNA from 1 species